CUGACUACACAGCUUUAGGCAAACGUAGCCUUCGAGUUGAAUCACAGCCGUCAUACUUUAUCCUGUCAGUGUUUCUCUCCUCAGUCCAUGAUGCAGCGAUUUACUCACAGCAAGUUCCAUCAAACAAGAUCAUUAUGGUGAUUUAUUUUUUCGGGAUUUUAUUUGGAGGCUGGAUGUUCAGGAUCCCCAAGCUAUCAUACAUCAGUUAAACUUACUGCACUAUGAAAAUGGAGGACAGCCAAUUCCAAGAUUCUCUUGAGAGAACGUGAGUAGAUUUCUUUCAGAGAUCGUAGGAGCUGCAGAUGCUGGAGAAUCUGAGAUAACAAGGUGUAGAGCUGGAUGAACACAGCAGGCCAA